rnacentral:lncRNA from 1 species
AGUUUGUGUUUGGAAUUGGAUCCAGUUGUACCGAUUUACUCCACUGUUUGCUACAAGAUUCAGCAGCUGUUCCGUGUGGGGGCCCCUGUUCCUGCUGUUCCCAGGCACCCGCUGGCAGGACAAAGCACCUUUCCCCAGGUACCGUUCCUCCAAUCUGCCCUUACACAAAUGUACCACAAAAUUCUCUUCAGCCUGGGAGUGUGGCAGGAAGAAGAGCUACUGGAUGCAUGGCUACAUUAGGAAGACCCAGAUGGAAGGGAAACUGGGCAAGCAAAUGAGUCUCUCUGGGGAUCAUGUGAUCGAAAUGUUUGUGGAAAAAAACAUACCCCAGACCAGAAGACAGAUUGAAGACAUCAACAUAUAGCCAACCAUGGGAGACUGAGGCUGCCUCUGAGUCUCCAGCCCAGAGACGUCAGAGUUGAAGGGGUUCAUCUUUCUGGUGGGAAUCUUUAACCGUGCCUUAUUAAAUACAUUAAACUUUAUUUUCCAAAUUGCC